AUAAGUAUGUGAAUUGCAGAAUUCAGUGAAUCAUCGAAUCUUUGAACGCACCUUGCGCUCCUUGGUAUUCCGAGGAGCAUGCCUGUUUGAGUGUCAUGUAAUCCUCAAUCCCCUUUAGUUUUUACUGACUGGGAUUGGAUCUUGGAGGUUGCUGGUUGAUUCUUCAAUCAGCUCCUCUUAAAUGCAUUAGUGUGAACCCUUGCUCAAGUGUUCUCCAGUGUAAUAAUUAUUUGCGCUGCUAGAGACUUGGCAUUUACAGUGAUUCAUGCUUCCAAUCAUCCCUUGUGGGAUAACAUACUUUGCAUUUGACCUCAAAUCAGGUAGGACUACCCGCUGAACUUAAGCAUAUCAAUAAGCGGAGGAAAAGAAACUAACAAGGAUUCCCCUAGUAACUGCGAGUGAAGCGGGAAAAGCUCAAAUUUAAAAUCUGACAGUCUUUGGCUGUCCGAGUUGUAAUCUGGAGAAGUGUUUUCCGCGCUGGACCGUGUACAAGUCUCUUGGAACAGAGCGUCAUAGAGGGUGAGAAUCCCGUCUUUGACACGGACUACCAGUGCUUUGUGAUGCGCUUUCAAAGAGUCGAGUUGUUUGGGAAUGCAGCUCAAAAUGGGUGGUAAAUUCCAUCUAAAGCUAAAUAUUGGCGAGAGACCGAUAGCGAACAAGUACCGUGAGGGAAAGAUGAAAAGCACUUUGGAAAGAGAGUUAAACAGUACGUGAAAUUGCUGAAAGGGAAACGCUUGAGUCAGUCGCGUUGUUCAGAACUCAGCCUUACUUUUGUUUGGUGUAUUUUCUGUUCGACGGGCCAGCAUCAAUUUUGACCAUUGGAAAAGGGCCAGAGGAAUGUGGCACCUUCGGGUGUGUUAUAGUCUUUGGUCGCAUACAAUGGUUGGGAUUGAGGAUCUCAGCAUGCCUUUUGGCCGGGGUUCGCCCACGUUCAUGCUUAGGAUGCUGGCGUAAUGGCUUUAAACGACCNGUCUUGAAACACGGACCAAGGAGUCUAACAUGCCUGCGAGUGUUUGGGUGGAAAACCCGAGCGCGUAAUGAAAGUGAAAGUUGGGAUCCCUGUCGUGGGGAGCACCGACGCCCGGACCAGACCUUCUGUGACGGCUCCGCGGUAGAGCAUGUAUGUUGGGACCCGAAAGAUGGUGAACUAUGCCUGAAUAGGGUGAAGCCAGAGGAAACUCUGGUGGAGGCUCGUAGCGAUUCUGACGUGCAAAUCGAUCGUCAAAUUUGGGUAUAGGGGCGAAAGACUAAUCGAACCAUCUAGUAGCUG
rnacentral:rRNA from 1 species